rnacentral:rRNA from 1 species
AUUGAACGCUGGCGGCAGGCCUAACACAUGCAAGUCGAACGAGUGGCGGACGGGUGAGUAAUGUCUGGGAAACUGCCUGAUGGAGGGGGAUAACUACUGGAAACGGUAGCUAAUACCGCAUACCCUCAGAUGUGCCCAGAUGGGAUUAGCUUGUUGGUGGGGUACAGGCUCACCCAGGCGACGAUCCCUAGCUGGUCUGAGAGGAUGAACGGCCACACUAGAACGUAUACACGGGCCAGCCUCCUAGGGGAGGCAGCAGUGGGGAAUAUUGCACAAUGGGCGCAAGCCUGAUGCAGCCAUGCCGCGUGUAUGAAGAAGGCCUUCGGGUUGUAAAGUACUUUCAGCGGGGAGGCGUUACCCGCAGAAGAAGCACCGGCUAACUCCGUGCCAGCAGCCGCGGUAAUUC